UGGCUGGUAAUUUUAGCCUUUUGUGACACACCAGUUGGCAGGUACAGUGGUAGAGAACCAUGAGCCUUUCCCUAAAGCCUUCUCUCCCUCUGGGACACUCACAGACGUGUCUCUGUCUUAUCAGUCCCAGGGGAUCGUUCCCAAACAUUUCACAAUGAAAAUGUGCAGGAGGGCCUUCCCCCCCUGAAAAGGAGGGCCAGCUGUCAGAGGUAAUGACUGCCUGUGGACAUACAGAUGGCACUAGAGGUGCUCCCCGGGUCUAUCGCACACCUGAAGAAGGCAGUGUCCACUGCACAGCUGUUCCCGUAGGGGCAAACAGGGGGCAUGCUCCGUUCCCCAUCCUGAGGUUCAGCAUCCUUGCCAGGCUGGGAUAGACUUGGUCAGGAUGGACACAAAUGUCCCCAGAGCGUGCUAUGCUGAUGGAGAAGCAGGCAUGCUGCAGUGCAUACAGCACCAGGUCCCAGGAGAUGGUCCUCUGCAGUUACUGUCUACUCCGUGCUUUUAUCCCUCCAUUGCUCAUCGCGUUCAGUGGCGGCCAGGAGCAAAACGUAACUUGCUGCAUGACUGACAGCCUUUAAAGAACCUCAGCAGACCUUGGGCCUUAUUUUGAAAGGCCCCUGAAAGAAAAAGGAUUGUGUGCUCUCUGAAUGUGAGGCCGCUGAACUGCUGCCAACUCCGGGCUGCUCCAUUCAAAGGGCUGAGUGAAUAAAUGAGAAUAACAUCCUUGGGGACCUCGAGGAUCGGUUUACGCUGAAAAUCCUCAGCCUUACAAAGGGUCAGAGUCACAAGCAUUUCCUUGCACUGGCAAGACUUUGGAGUCCCCUGCGAGCAGUUUGCGUGGGAGUCAAACGAUUUUUUAUCCAGAGCUGUGGAUUUAACUUCAGCCUUCAGAGGGCAGCCCAGGGCAGGAGACAGCCCUUCACGCCUGAGUGGGCCUACAUGUGUUUUGCUGCUACCUGAGCAAGGCCUUGCAGGGCCGGCCAGGAGUGAACACCCCUCAUCCGCCAUUUGGCCAGCCCUGAGACCUCCUCGUGGGUGAUACCCAGACCCUCCUGUAACGUUGUGAUCCAAGCCAUUUCCAAGACAGCAUUACUGAUUCAUGGUGUUACUAUCCACACGGUGUGGUCAUGCAAGGCGAUACCCAAGCGCAGCUCUCGGGUCGUGACGGAGACGUGAGGUGACAGUCCGUUGUGUGGAGUCUGUCGGAAAGGGAGGAAAGGCACCCUUUUGCUGUGCUCUGUGUCUGUGCGAUACAAGUUUGCCUGUAGAGGUGGGUACUGUGCUUCUCUUUUAAGAAAUGAAAAAUAAAAAUCACUUCUUCAGUAAUUCAUGUAAAACCCUCUCUCUCUCGCUCAAGUUUUCACAGGGAUUAGUUCUGCUGGUGUGAAACGUGGAGGAUGGAGAAAAUGAGUUGAGAGUGCCUCCCCCAAACAGCACGUGACUUGUUCUAUUUCAUUCUAAAACCCAAUAAAAGUAAUUUAGAUGCA